ACCAGCAGGUUUAUCUGAAAAAACCUCCAGUUUCUCUCCGUCUCCGCCCUCUUUCAGCCACACACGCUGUUUCAUUUCCUCAUUCAUUCAGUCAGUAAGCGAGCGAGUUUUGGCGUAGAACAGCUUUUAUUAACGAUCCAGUGGAUAAAGGAGCAGCAUUACUGCACAGAUAAUUAAAUAUUCGUCGGUAGAUUGUUAUCAGACCGCGCAUAAAUGUUCUCGCAUUUCCGGACAAUUAUCAGUUUGAGCGGUACCGUUUCGUAAUCGUUUCAAGUCCAUAAUCUACAUAAACAACCUAAUCCGUCCUUACAUUUACAUUACCAACCAGUCAUGCUCUCACAUCCAGCAGAUAUUGUGUGUUGCGCUGCGGUUCUUUGCAAAUGAAAGUUUUUAUAUAAUGUCGGAGAUGCAGAGCACUACAGUAAGACAACUGUAUGCAGGACAGUCAGAAAAGUUUUCCUGGCUCUGAAACGACUUUUACUCAUCAUUGUGGACAUAAACCUGUCAGAACAUCAAGAGGAGAUCCACAGGAUUACAGGUGAAUGAUGUAGAGAUCUGUUAAAUUCAUUUUAAAUCAUAUUCUGUUAAUGACAUUGUGCUGCAGCCUCAGACUGGGAUUAGUCAUUUUAAUUUCUUUUGGGAUUUCCCAGUGUGAUUGGCUGCAUAGAUGCACACACAUCCCCAUCACAGCUCCCUCACAUCAUGAAUAGGAAGUCCAUUCACAGCAUAAAUGUGCAGGUAGGCUACAGGUAGACUGACUACUGUUUCUAAAUGUUAAAGACUGCAUCAUAGUUCAACAUCUGUCAUUCUCUGCACUGUCCAGAUCAGAUGUGAUGCUGCAUACAUCAUUUCUAAUGUGGAGGCCAAGUGGUCUGGGUCUGUUCAUGACUCCAGGAUUUAUGGAGAGUCUAACCUGAGCAACAGACUGCAGCGUGGAGAGUUUGAUGGCCUUCUGCUGGGUGACAGGGGUUACCAUGCCAACCCAGGCUGAUGACCUCAUACCCUGACCCUGAACCAGGCCCCCAACAGAACUUCAACCGGACUCACUGCAGGACCAGAGCCCGGGUGGAGAUGACCAUAGGCCUGCUGAAAGCCCGUUUCCAGAGCCUACGUCUCCUCAGGGUGACCCCUGAGAGGGCCUGUGAUAUUACUGUGGCAUGUGUUGUUCUUCAUAAUAUUACCACUAUUAGAGGAGAGCAACACCCUGCCCUACAAACUGAAGACCCAGAUGAUGAGCCCAUCCACCUGCAGCUAUCCAGGACAGCAGAGCAGUCAGAGACACCGUAUGCAAUAAUCACUUUAGAGUUUAAGUCACCAUCAUCACCACCACAGCAAAUAAAGACAUGAUACACAUUU